rnacentral:rRNA from 1 species
AUGUCGCACGCCUCGUUGGAGGUAGUUUGUUGGAAUGUGAGGGGGCUCAAUAGCCCAACCAAGAAAAAGGCGCUUAGGGAGUUCAUGGACACGGUGCAUGUCGCAAUUGUGUGUAUCUUGGAGUCCAAACUAGAUAGGGUCGACCAAUUUGUUAUAAUGCAAUGCCUAGGGCCUUCUUACGAUGGCUUUGCUUACCUUCCGGCGUCAGACACGAGAGGUGGCAUCAUCAUUGGCUGGGACUCUUCUAGAGUGACGAUCUCUAACACGGUUCUUGACUCUAACUUCGUUACCGGCUAUGUCAUGCCUAUGGAGGGGCAUGGGUGGUGGAUGUCGGUGGUAUAUGGGCCAUAG